rnacentral:tRNA from 2 species
GUAUCUUCGCCUGUCACGUGAAAGACCGGGGUUCGAAUCCCCGUUGAAGAG